rnacentral:rRNA from 1 species
AUGUCCUACGGGGCGCAGCAGUGGGGGAUAUUGGACAAUGGGGGAAACCCUGAUCCAGCGAUGCCGCGUGAGGGAAGAAGGUUUUCGGAUUGUAAACCUCUGUGGAGGGGGACGAUAAUGACGGUACCCCUUUAGGAAGCCACGGCUAACUACGUGCCAGCAGCCGCGGUAAUACGUAGGUGGCGAGCGUUAUCCGGAAUUAUUGGGUGUAAAGGGUGCGUAGACGGAAGAACAAGUUGGUUGUGAAAUCCCUCGGCUCAACUGAGGAACUGCAACCAAAACUAUUCUCCUUGAGUGUCGGAGAG